AAAGAAACUAAAUACGAGAGUGGUAGGUGAAGCAAACCUGGGGCGCAAAGCCCCGACCAUCAGCAAGCUGGUGGGUUCGGUCCCCCGGAACCCACUACCUAUGUAGUCUGGACACCCUCAGUAGUGUCCUCAUCAACAACAACACUAUCAGUAGUGCCUCCCGCUGUCUCCACAUCUCUGGAGCUAGAUGUCGCAGCAGCUAACUCUACAUCCCUGAAUGACG
rnacentral:misc_RNA from 1 species